GCGGAUGUGCUGAAAUAGGAAAACAGACUGGAUUUAGGUUCCAGCGGUUAACAACCUUGUGGGUUCGAGUCCCAUCAUCCGUA
rnacentral:tRNA from 2 species